rnacentral:rRNA from 1 species
CAGUCGCCACGGUAAUACGUAGGGUGCAAGCGUUAAUCGGAAUUACUGGGCGUAAAGCGUGCGCAGGCGGUUAUAUAAGACAGAUGUGAAAUCCCCGGGCUCAACCUGGGAACUGCAUUUGUGACUGUAUAGCUAGAGUACGGCAGAGGGGGAUGGAAUUCCGCGUGUAGCAGUGAAAUGCGUAGAUAUGCGGAGGAACACCGAUGGCGAAGGCAAUCCCCUGGGCCUGUACUGACGCUCAUGCACGAAAGCGUGGGGAGCAAACAGGAUUAGAUACCCGCGUAUCCCUGUCUCUUAUACA